rnacentral:rRNA from 1 species
AGUGAACGCUGGCGGUAGGCCUAACACAUGCCAGUCGAACGGCAGCACAGUAAGAGCUUGCUCUUACGGGUGGCGAGUGGCGGACGGGUGAGGAAUAAAUCGGAAUCUACUUUUUCGUGGGGGAUAACGUAGGGAAACUUACGCUAAUACCGCAUACGACCUACGGGUGAAAGCAGGGGAUCUUCGGACCUUGCGCGAUUGAAUGAGCCGAUGUCGGAUUAGCUAGUUGGCGGGGUAAAGGCCCACCAAGGCGACGAUCCGUAGCUGGUCUGAGAGGAUGAUCGGCCACACUGGAACUGAGACACGGUCCAGACUCCUACGGGAGGCAGCAGUGGGGAAUAUUGGACAAUGGGCGCAAGCCUGAUCCAGCCAUACCGCGUGGGUGAAGAAGGCCUUCGGGUUGUAAAGCCCUUUUGUUGGGAAAGAAAAGCAGCAGGUUAAUACCCCGCUGUUCUGACGGUACCCAAAGAAUAAGCACCGGCUAACUUCGUG